UCGGUGGUGGUCCAGUGGCUAGGACUUCACAUUCCCAAUGCAGGGGCCCAGGUUCAAUUCCUGGUCAAGGAA
rnacentral:tRNA from 1 species